rnacentral:rRNA from 1 species
AUAUAACUAAGCGGAGGAAAAGAAACUAACAAGGAUUUCCCUAGUAACGGCGAGUGAAGCGGAAAAAGCACAGGCUGAAAACCUUCGGGGAUGUGGUCUGAAGAACAUGCAUCCAUCGGAAGUACACGAAUCAAGUGGUCUGGAAAGGCCCGCCAUGGAGGGUGAUAGCCCCGUUCGUAUUUGUGUAUGGAAGAAAUGGAGUGUGUUCGAGGAGUCGAGUUGCUUGGGAUUGCAGCUCAAAUGGGUGGUAAAUUCCAUCUAAUGCUAAAUAUGGGUGGGAGACCGAUAGCGCACAAGUA